UCCUCCCUCUUUCCUCGUGCCUAAUACAUGCAAGUUGAGCGAUGAAGAUUGGUGCUUGCACCAAUUUGAAGAGCAGCGAACGGGUGAGUAACGCGUGGGGAAUCUGCCUUUGAGCGGGGGACAACAUUUGGAAACGAAUGCUAAUACCGCAUAACAACUUUAAACAUAAGUUUUAAGUUUGAAAGAUGCAAUUGCCUCACUCAAAGAUGAUCCCGCGUUGUAUUAGCUAGUUGGUGAGGUAAAGGCUCACCAAGGCGAUGAUACAUAGCCGACCUGAGAGGGUGAUCGGCCACAUUGGGACUGAGACACGGCCCAAACUCCUACGGGAGGCAGCAGUAGGGAAUCUUCGGCAAUGGACGAAAGUCUGACCGAGCAACGCCGCGUGAGUGAAGAAGGUUUUCGGAUCGUAAAACUCUGUUGGUAGAGAAGAACGUUGGUGAGAGUGGAAAGCUCAUCAAGUGACGGUAACUACCCAGAAAGGGACGGCUAACUACGUG
rnacentral:rRNA from 1 species